rnacentral:rRNA from 1 species
UAGGGAAUUUUGCGCAAUGGGGGAAACCCUGACGCAGCAACGCCGCGUGGAGGAUGAAGUCCUUCGGGACGUAAACUCCUUUCGACCGGGACGAUGAUGACGGUACCGGUGGAAGAAGCACCGGCUAACUCUGUGCCAGCAGCCGCGGUAAUACAGAGGGUGCGAGCGUUGUUCGGAAUUACUGGGCGUAAAGGGCGCGUAGGCGGUGCGGUAAGUCACCUGUGAAAACUCUGGGCUCAACUCAGAGCCUGCAGGCGAAACUCCCGUGCUGGAGUGUGGGAGAGGUGCGUGGAAUUCCCGGUGUAGCGGCGAAAUGCGUAGAUAUCGGGGGGAACACCUGUGGCGAAAGCGGCGCACUGGACCACAACUGACGCUGAGGCGCGAAAGCUAGGGGAGCAAACAGGAUUAGAUACCCUGGUAGUCCUAGCCCUAAACGAUGGAUGCUUGGUGUAGCCGGUACCCAAUCCGGCUGUGCCGAAGCUAACGCGAUAAGCAUCCCGCCUGGGGAGUACGGUCGCAAGACUG